rnacentral:lncRNA from 1 species
GGAAUAGUGAUGGAUUACAGGGAGCAAUCCAAAUGCCUAAACACAGGUAGGGAAUGCUAUAUGGAUACUUUAUAAUCUCAGAACUGACCACAGAGGAUGAACAAGCACAAGCUGAUUAGAGACCUGCUCACCUCUGCAGGGGUCCUGAACCCGGGCUAUGUACUUUCAGGACUCUCAAAUUCCAGACACCUUUGAUUGCUCAGACUUUACAAAAGUAUAUAGAAUUUGGAGUUGAUCACCAAAGAUGAGAGUAUGCCAUGUGACAACCAUGAGUCUGCACACAAGACUGAAAGGAGAUAAAGCAGCAGAGAACUGGAGUGUGGCAGGAGAGAUGAAACUGUACUCUCAAUCAGUGGUUACAAAGACAGGCAUGACCUUACUCAACAGAUAUAUAGAAUGCUGGAUACGCACAUCAGAUAAAGUAGUCUUUCAAAUUUUGAAAGAAACAAAGUACAUCUUUGGUCUGCAUUCGGAUGCAUUUAAUAUUCCACUUCUGGAGGUCCAAAUACUCUCUAGAGAAGAACAUUUGAGAAAUGUUGUCCUAUAUAUUAAAUGACUGAGUAAAUGGUAUUCAAGCUAUCUGUCACAUAUUCAUGAAUUUCUCCCUUCUCUUUUUGUUUAUAUAUGUUAACAAAAAGCUUGUAAUAUAUCAAUAGUCAUAGUGGGUGUUAAUUACCAUUACAUAAGGUUACUUAUGUUACUUAUGUACUUAUUUAAUUAAAACAAUAAAAACAGUGUCUUACACA